AACAAUCACUAGUUGAAUGAUAAAACGCAAACUCGCAGCUAUUUGGAACGAUAUACAUACCAGAGUUUUAGAUACAACGAGAACACUUUAAAUACAUAUUUAAAUAUCAGGUGAACUGAUUUAAACUUUAACAUAACUGUCCAUGAGAGAGCGAUUUUCUGUUAUGUGCAUUAUA